rnacentral:tRNA from 1 species
GGAUAGGUACGGGAGAAUCCAGCCCUGGAAAGGCUGGUGUCGGCGGUUCGAUUCGGUCCCUGGCCACCA